UACAGAGGGUGCGAGCGUUAAUCGGAAUUACUGGGCGUAAAGCGCGCGUAGGCGGCUUUUCAAGUCGAUUGUGAAAUCCCCGGGCUUAACCUGGGAACUGCAGUCGAGACUGUCUAGCUAGAGUAUGGGAGAGGGAAGUGGAAUUUCAGGUGUAGCGGUGAAAUGCGUAGAUAUCUGAAGGAACAUCAGUGGCGAAGGCGACUACCUGGCCUGUUCUUGACGCUGAGGCGCGAAAGCUAGGGGAGCAA
rnacentral:rRNA from 1 species